AAUUUGUGACUCCUCAUUACUCUGCGCCAUACCCUCACUACGUCCGUCUGCCUUCUUUUCUUCAUACCCUCCCACUUUGCACACUGACCAUACCCUAAGUGUAUCCUCCAUUACGUAGCUUCCACUGGUCGACCCACCAUACCCUCACACUUGUAGACCCACCGUUCCUCUGCCAUCCUUUCUUGAAGCUUCACCCUUUUCUCUGUUUCACGAAAUUCCCAACCUUUCUCCACCACCCUGUCCAAUAACUUCCAUUCCCUCCUUCACCCAUCUCCCAACAAGCUGAUUCUGCUUCAAACCAAUUUUAUGAAUUCAUCAUUGACUUCUAGAUUCGGGUUUUCUUCAACGGCCUCGCAUGAGCAUGCAAGCGAAGAAGCAAAGGUAUGUGAUCAGUCUGAACAAGUUGAAGCCGCGGAUCAAACCAAAGAAUCAGGGUUGAACAAGGAGUCUGAGGCUUUUGCAGAAAAGCUUUUUGAUACUCUUGCUAGGCAGAGAGGUAUUCAGGGGGGUUCCAUUAACAAGAUCCAGUAGAAGGAAUUCUGGGAUCAUAUUUCUGACCAGAACUUUGUUACUAGGCUCAAAACAUUCUUUGACAUGGUUGAUAAAGAUGCAGAUGGCAAAAUCACCGAGGAAGAAAUUAAAGAGGUACAGUACAAAAUAAUUAAUUCACCACUAACUGUUUGGCCAUAUUUUAUUUGGAAAAAAAUAGAUAGACAACCCUGGAGAUGCUCUUGUUGCAUGGACCAGAGGAAACUACAAGAGGAAAAAAAAUAGAUACACAACCUUGGGAUGAAGUUCUUGUUGCAUGGGGAGGACAAGGAAGGUGUUUUGGCGCAGGUUUUAGUUAUUUUCUGGGGGUUUUCCCAUGCUAUUAAAAAAAAAAACACCUUCUGGACAUGAAGAAUCUGCACAAUAACAACUAGGUGGUGAUAUCAGCUGGUGCUUAACAAAGAUUUCUACAUCGAUCGUAAAAGGAUCGUCGUAGAACACGUGAUAAACUACAUCGGUCUUAAAAUGAUCGUCGUAGAACACAUGAGAAACAAAGUUGUGCUUAAGCCAACAACGAUGUAGAAAGCAGUGCUUUCUACAUUGGUGUUGUUGUAGGCACGACUUCCUUUGUGACGUGUUUCUAAGACGGUCCUUUUACGACCGAUGUAGAAACAUCCACCCUCUACAACGACAUUAGAUUUAAAGACACACGUCCACCGUCGUAGAAAUGCCAAUUCCACCGAUGUAGAACGCUAUUUUUCUAGCAGUGUCUUUAUCUUUCUGCAUCUUUUAUUUUAAAUUUCUUAUCUCUUUCUUGUAGAUUGGAUUUGCUUUAAUCUAAAUAUAACAAAGUUCUCGUAGAUUCGAUACUCA